UUUUCGCGUGAGGGAUAGCAGCGGAAAUCCUUUUUAUCAUGAAGCGGUAGCGGAAUGAAAAAAGAUUGCAGCGAAUAGCCCGACCCUUG
rnacentral:sRNA from 1 species